GACCAGGUGUUUUGGAAACAAUAGACUUUGAACGUCUACUAUAGAUGUUCGAUUCGUCUCCAG
rnacentral:tRNA from 1 species